rnacentral:rRNA from 1 species
UACGUAGGGUGCGAGCGUUGUCCGGAAUUAUUGGGCGUAAAGAGCUCGUAGGCGGUUUGUCGCGUCGACUGUGAAAACCCGAGGCUUAACCUCGGGCCUGCAGUCGAUACGGGCAGACUAGAGUUCGGUAGGGGAGACUGGAAUUCCUGGUGUAGCGGUGAAAUGCGCAGAUAUCAGGAGGAACACCGGUGGCGAAGGCGGCAUCCUGGACCGGUAUUGACGCUGAGACGCGAAAGCGUGGGGAGCGAACAGG